CCUACGGGGGGCUGCAGUGGGGAAUAUUGGACAAUGGGGGCAACCCUGAUCCAGCCAUGCCGCGUGUGUGAAGAAGGCCCUCGGGUUGUAAAGAACUUUCAGUGAGGAAGAACGCCUGGUGGUUAAUACCCAUCAGGAAAGACAUCACUCACAGAAGAAGCACCGGCUAACUCCGUGCCAGCAGCCGCGGUAAUACGGAGGGUGCGAGCGUUAAUCGGAAUUACUGGGCGUAAAGCGCGCGUAGGUGGCUUGAUAAGCCGGUUGUGAAAGCCCCGGGCUCAACCUGGGAACGGCAUCCGGAACUGUCAAGCUAGAGUGCAGGAGAGGAAGGUAGAAUUCCCGGUGUAGCGGUGAAAUGCGUAGAGAUCGGGAGGAAUACCAGUGGCGAAGGCGGCCUUCUGGACUGACACUGACACUGAGGUGCGAAAGCGUGGGUAGCAAACAGGAUUAGAUACCCUGGUAGUC
rnacentral:rRNA from 1 species